rnacentral:rRNA from 1 species
UACAGGGGGUGCAAGCGUUAAUCGGAAUUACUGGGCGUAAAGCGUGCGUAGACGGUUGCGUAAGUCAGAUGUGAAAGCCCAGGGCUCAACCUUGGAAUUGCAUUUGAGACUGAAUAGCUAGGGUGCGGAAGAGGGAAGCGGAAUUUCCGGUGUAGCGGUGAAAUGCGUAGAUAUCGGAAGGAACACCAGUGGCGAAAGCGGCUUCCUGGUCCAGCACCGACGUUCAGGCACGAAAGCGUGGGGAGCAAACAGG